UCGAAGGCGAAACAAGAAUGAUUUUUUGUCCCUCACCGUCGUCUCCUCUGUCCGACCAUUGAAACACCGAGGCGACCGAUCUUCUCGUCUCCUCGUCUCCUCAUCACCACAGAGUUUAUGCUCUUAUCAGUUUGCUCUUAUCUGAGUUGAUUGGCCAUGGCUUCUUCUAUCGUUUUCGCUGCAACUCCGGUUACUGGGUUUCUCUCUGUUCCUCCUUUGAAGUCUCGGAGAUUUCUUCAUGUUUGUUCUUCACUCGACGCCGAUGUUUCCGACAUGAGUAUUAACGGAAUCAACAAUUUCGAGUUUGAGGGAAUGGUUGGCAGAUUCAACAAUAGGAAAUAAUGAUACAUUGAGGUUGAUUGCUGGUAUUAUAUUCAUGCAUGAGGAAUAUUAUAAUGAAGCUUUGAAGCAUAUUCAUGCUGGAGGAACUAUGGAUUUGUAAUUCUUUGGUGGAUUGUGACUGUGUUCUGGUGAGAGUGGUUGUUAUGUUUACAUGCUCUUUGAUUGUUUGUUUAUUGCUGCUUUGUUUCUAGGUAUGCCUUGAAUGUUCAGAUGUUCAUUAAGAUGCAUAGAUCAGAGUAACCUAUAAUCAGACUUGCAUACCUUCUUCACUGCACUUAUAUCGUGGCUUUUCUGUGUGUUACCAAGUGUUUAUUAUACUAGUUGUGGUGAUUGCAGGAUGCUAAAAACCCAGAAACCUUGUUGUCUGCAGUCUUCAUGUUGGGAAAUCAUCUUCACGCUAUCUAAGCCAGCUGAAACUUUCGCACCCGGAACAUCUACUUGUGAAGCGUGUGUCAUAAGCCGAAGACAACUUCGAGAGAGCUGUUCAAUCAGUUGCCUGAAGACUUUGAAGCUAAAAUAGUUGUGCAGGGUCGGUCUGUUGUACCGCAUUCUCUAUUAGAGUAACCAUACUGUCUAUUCUUUUCGUGAUUAGUAUAUGAACCAGAUUUUGCCAGUGGAUAUGUUAC